CUUUCAUAUGGAGUUCUGCCCUAUCUGACGGUGAGAUGGGUAGGAUUUCAAUUUCAUUUGUUUGCACCGGGAAUGCCUCUUUCAUAUGGAGUUCUGCCCUAUCUGACGGUGAGAUGGGUAGGAUUUCAAUUUCAUUUGUUUGCACCGGGAAUGCCUCUUUCAUAUGGAGUUCUGCCCUAU